rnacentral:rRNA from 1 species
UGAGGAAUAUUGGUCAAUGGGCGAGAGCCUGAACCAGCCAAGUAGCGUGCAGGAUGACGGCCCUAUGGGUUGUAAACUGCUUUUAUGUGGGGAUAAAGUGCGUGACGUGUCAUGCAUUGCAGGUACCACAUGAAUAAGGACCGGCUAAUUCCGUGCCAGCAGCCGCGGUAAUACGGAAGGUCCGGGCGUUAUCCGGAUUUAUUGGGUUUAAAGGGAGCGUAGGCUGUCUAUUAAGCGUGUUGUGAAAUAUACCGGCUCAACCGGUGGCUUGCAGCGCGAACUGGUCGACUUGAGUAUGCAGGAAGUAGGCGGAAUUCAUGGUGUAGCGGUGAAAUGCUUAGAUAUCAUGACGAACUCCGAUUGCGCAGGCAGCUUACUGUAGCAUAACUGACGCUGAUGCUAGAAAGUGCGGGUAUCAAACAGG